UACGGUUCAGAUCAUUUCCUGCUGUGGAUGAAGGACACGGAAACUAGGAUUGCUGAGCACCAUCACAGGCAGCGGCACGGCCCCAGGAGCUGGCAAUCAGUAAAUACUGGUUGAAUGAAUGGUACCUUCGGCUCCCAAGUCCAGAUGCGCAUUUACUAGUAGCCGGCGGAAAAGGUGAAGACUCCCCAAACCCAGCACUGCGCCGGCGUGAUUUAUGUGCGCACAUGAAGGGAAACCAUGCAAAAAGCCCAGCUGUGUGGCGCACACUUGUGGUACUGGCACUGGGAGGCAGAGCCAGGAGGAUCCCGGGACUCCCUGGCCAGACAACCUCGCCUAAUUGGUGAGCUCCAGGACAACGAGAGACCCUGCCUCAAAACCAAACCAAAACAAGGUUAACUUUGUCACUUUUACAUAAACUAAGAGAAUUUCGAUGAGCGACUGCCUACAUUGGGUUGGCCUGUAUGCAUGUCUGUGAGAGAUUGACUGAGACAGUUGAUCUAGGAAGACUCAGGCCAGUGCCGGUGGCGCCAUUCCCUAGGCGUGGAGUCCUGGGCUGUAUUAAGAGUGGAGGAAUGGAGCUAGGCACUAACAAGCAACCUAGCAGCAUGUGUGUGUGUUCACUUUUCCCUGCUCUUGACAGUAGCUGUGAUGUGGCUGUUUGCAGUCCUGCCUUGAUUUCCCCACUAUGAUAGACUGGGACCUGGAAUUGUAGGCUGAAAGAAACCCCUUUGACCUCUAAGUUACCUUUGUCAGAGUAUUUUAUCGCUGCAACAGAAAUGAUAUGAGAACAAUGCUUAUCAUCAUCACCAUCAUCAUCAUCAUCAUCAUCAUCAUCAUCAUCAUCAUCAUCAUUGCUCUCUCAUAGCAAGUGGCUACUUUGAUAUGGUCCUUGCCCAGGACUGUGACAGAAGACAGCCUCAUGGGCCACUUGGUGCUCAGCCUCCGGGAGCCACAGUGACGCUUUCCAAGCAUUUUUUUUCCUGACAAAAAUGCUGAUGUUGAACAAUCUUGCAUAAAACUUU